AUCAUAACUUGCACUUUAAAAAGUGCACCUGCUGGCAUCGGCUCAUUGACAGUCAUAACGCUGAAAUGCGCCUCAACUUGAACUAAUUUGUGCGCAAUUUGCGCGAAGAAAGGCGUCGGAAACACCAAAGGCAGAGCGAAGAGAGAGGGCCAUACAGAUAUAGCCAAUGAAUGGGGAAAGAGAGACGGGAAGACCCUUGGUGAAAGAGACGGCAGUUGCAGCCAACUAAUUUUGCUUCCUUUUCCCCGAAUGGUUGGAAAAAAGUGAUGGUGGCA